UCACGUGGCGCUAGGUAGGAUUUGCC
rnacentral:piRNA from 1 species